GUUACCAUUCUAUCAAUUACAAGAGGGGUUCAGCGCGUAACACUCACAAACAUUGUGAGACAGGCGCUCUCACCCGUCCCAGAGAUUAAAGAGCGAGGGUGAAUGCGCAUGCGCGGUUAGGAGGAAACGGCUGAGGUUCAUUUCAUGCUAUGUGUGGUCGACUUCGUACCGAUCAGAGUGAUAGAGCGAGGGACAUAGCGUAAAGAAAGGGGAGUUAAGGAUUCACGCUUUGGGUCAGCCAACUGAACGUGUUGAUUAAACUGCAAGAGGGGAACACGAAACGUCUGUAAUGACAGCAGAGUCAAGUGAAUUAAGUGAAUAAACACAAGCGACAUUGCGCGGCUGAUAGCAAGAGAGGCAGAUAGAUCCGAGAAGAGAAGAGAGGAAAAAGGGAUAUCCAGUCGGACUAACAAGUUGGGUUGCCCCGAAAACGUGGACAAGGCUGUCAAACAGAUAAAACAUGGCAGAUGCUGACCUGGACUUCACAACAGGCGAUGCUGGUGCCUCUGCUACCUACCCCAUGCAAUGCUCUGCCCUGCGCAAAAAUGGUUUUGUGGUGCUAAAAGGUCGACCAUGCAAGAUUGUGGAAAUGUCAACAUCUAAGACUGGCAAACAUGGACAUGCCAAGGUUCACAUGGUGGGCAUUGACAUCUUCUCUGGCAAAAAGUAUGAGGAUAUCUGUCCCUCAACCCACAAUAUGGAUGUCCCUAACAUCAAAAGAAUGGACUACCAGCUUAUUGGCAUACAGGAUGGCUACCUGUCUCUGCUCCAGGACAGCGGUGAGGUCAGAGAAGACCUAAAAAUGCCAGAAGGAGACCUGGGCAAAGAGAUAGAAAGCAAGUUUGAUGCCGGUGAGGAAAUCCUGAUCACGGUCUUGUCUGCUAUGAAUGAGGAGGCUGCAGUAGCUAUCAAAGCCAUGGCUAAAUAAAACACAGCAGGUACUUCUGUGUAUCACAGAUGUAGGACUGCUGCAGUGUUUGAUGUAUCUGGGUUUGACAAGAGGCAUUGGACCUGGAUAUGAGAGAAUUAGACCUCCACAAUCCUAUUCUCCCUCCUUUAUUCUUUCUCAUUCUUUCUUUCUUUUUUUUUUUUUUUUUUUAGUAGCCCAUGUAGUUAAAUUUAAAAUCUUGAAAAUAAAUUUCAUAAUCAAAAUAUUCUAAACCAAAUAACAUUUUUCAGAAACAAAAGGUACAUAAGAAACAAAUAACAGAUAUGAUUGUUAUGAGUGGACAAAAGUACCAUAGUGAUGGACGGCUGGGGUGGGUAAAGGAUUUAUUUGUAUUUAUUAAUUUUCGGGGAGGGGAUAUCGUAACUGUCUUUACUAGCACAAGUGUGUCUGUUUUAAUUUUAAGAUAACUACCCCUCAUAUGUUCCUUGCUAACUUAAAUCACAAUGGUAAAUAGCUAUAAGAGGUAUGUUAUGUGGUUGAUUUUAUUAAUGAGCAAUUAUAGUGCAAAGGGAGCGUAAAAAGCUCAAGUGCAGAAUCUCCUGUAAAGGACAGAUACAAAGGCAAUGACAUGAGUAAUAGGAUGCAGUUUUGUGUCUUCACUACAGGACCAAGUGCUCUGCUUAACUUCCCUUUUAUCUUUCAUUAGCUUAAAGCAAAAGACCCUUGGCAGGGGGUGACAAUAUCACACAACUUGGAGUAUACAGAUGGAUGAUGCAGUAAGACUUUGAAUAAUUUUUUGCUCUUUAUUCCCACACUCCCUCUCCCCUGAUGAGACUGAUAACACAGGGGAAGCCAGCAUCACAAUUUUAUCAAAAUUUCCCAAGUUUUGGAUGUUUGAGUAUACUCUGAAGUGAAAAGAGGUUCCAUUAGCCUUAUUUUUAAUUGAAAUAAACACACAUACUUCUGCCUAUAAUGUA